UUAAUGAGGAUCGGUAGAAACGGUUGAACGUAGAAAGAAAACGGAUUAUACGUGAGCAGGAUCAGCGGUUUAUGUUUUUUUUUUUAAAGCUGAUACAUUUUUGAUAUCUUCUUUUGUCAAUCAUUCAGUAAACAGGUUCUCAGAGGAUAUUUUAAACAUGUAUUUUCAAGGACAUGUUAGGAUGAGAGGCUGAUGAGUAACGUUCCUCCAGUGCAAGCCUCCUGGAAAAACCAGUCCAGAUGAAAUCACAGCAGCAAAGGUUCAAAUGAAGAGGAGGAAGAAAAUCAGCAGAAAUCACAGAUCAGCAGAAAACAAGAAGACUGAGAGAAACACGGAGGACAGAAAUGACACACAAACCAGAGAAUCACGAGAGGAAAGAGGACAGACACGUGUUUGAUGUGACAGUAUGAAGAAACUAAAGCCAGACUUGUCCUGUGAUCCAGAUGAGCCUGUAAAGAGUGAUUCUCAUCAAACCCUUCAUCA